ACCUCGGUAGUGCAAUCGGUAGCACCCUAGACCGAACAUCUGUAAAUACAGGUUCAUGUCCCGUUUGAGGUA
rnacentral:tRNA from 1 species